rnacentral:rRNA from 1 species
AGUAAGAUCCCUCGAAGAUGACGAGGUGGAUAGGUCCGGGGUGGAAGUGUGGCGACACAUGGAGCUGACGGAUACUAAUCGAUCGAGGACUUCUCCU